CGCACAAGGCAAGCCGCAGCCUGUGCCUCCACCUGUGCCUGCGGAAAGCUGGGGCUAACAGAAGUACGGAGUGGCGGUUCCACUCACAUAGUUCCAGCGUGACUCUCCCAAGCCUCUGGACUCAAGCGCCCACAAAAGACAAGUGAAUGGGAUGACGACUCAGUUAAGGUUUGCCCAGGAUACCUUUUUAACGUCUUCAUAAUCAAGACUAAGCUGCCGGUAUAACCUUGAAAUAGUGAUUCCAUUCAUUGUUUUCUUAACAGGCUGUAAAACUGCCAGGAAACUGAUCCGGCAGUAAAUAGAUGACAUGCAGUUUUGCGAAAUUACUUUCUCUAUGAUCUUGAGUUUUAAAGAUUAUGUUUGAAUCACAGAGUUGUUAUAGGAUAAGAAGUUUCAAGCCAUCCCAGACAUCAUGAAGAAAUUGAUAGAGUAAGUUAGGAUCAUAAACUACAUUCUCUGUGCUUUAAAUUUAUGAACUUUGCAUCAAAUUAGGACUUUCAGUAUCAUUGACCAAAUAGGCAUUUAUGUGACAAAAAUUAAGUUUCUGAAUAUCCGGUGUUGGAGAAGAUAUUGACAACAUCUAUCACUUUGAUAUUUUGGAUGCGAGUGUACACUGGCUCACCACUUCGGAAACUAGUUAGAUAGACGUGGUCUUGUGAAGUCAGCACUCACGUUUUCCAAGAUUCAGCAGUUCUAUUCCCAAGUAAACACCUAAGAUAAACUCCUUCGCUUAGUCCCAGGAGAUGGUAGAAGAAGGUUCAUAACAGCCCCAUUAGUGAUGCUGAUGACAACAGUGCAAACAACGCAAAUGCCCAGCGACAAGAAAAUAGACAACUUGUACCCUAGAAAUUUAUGGAGCUGUGAAAAAUGAAUUAAUACUGACUCCACACCAAAAUCUAGAAGAAUCUUAGUAAUAUACUCCUCAAUGAAAACAUGUAAAUCUCAGAAGAUUAUAUAAAACUUGAUGUUCUUUUAAUAAAGAUCAUUUAAAAAAAUGUAAA